rnacentral:rRNA from 1 species
CAGCAGGCGCGAAAACCCUACAAUGCAGGCAACUGCGAUAGGGGAACAUCGAGUGAUCCUCACAUUGGGGGUCUGUCCCACCGUCUAGAAAACGGUGGUUAGCAAGGGCCGGGCAAGACCGGUGCCAGCCGCCGCGGUAAUACCGGCGGCUCGAGUGGUGGCCGAUAUUAUUGAGUCUAAAGGGUCCGUAGCCGGCUUUGCAAGUCUCUCGGGAAAUCCAGCGGCUUAACCGUUGGUCGUCCGGGGGGUACUACAUUGCUUGGGACUGGGAGAGGUAGGAGGUACUCAGGGGGUAGGAGUGAAAUCCUGUAAUCCUCUGGGGACCACCGGUGGCGAAGGCGUCCUACCAGAACAGGUCCGACGGUGAGGGACGAAAGCUAGGGGCACGAACCGGAUUAGAUACCCGGGUAGUCCUAGCCGUAAACGAUGCUCGCUAGGUGUCACAACAGUCGUGAACUGUUGUGGUGCCGUAGGGAAGCCGUGAAGCGAGCCACUUGGGAAGUACGACCGCAAGGUUGAAACUUAAAGGAAUCGGCGGGGGAGCAC